AAUAGAAACUUGUGAGAGAAAUAAAAACUUGGGAGAAAUGAUAGAGACAUUCCAUCUCCAAUCUAAAUGACAAAGAUGAGCUGGGCAAGAAAGAAAACAAAUAGAAGUGGGCUACACUGUUUUUUGUAUUUUAAUCAUUCAGAGCAUGAGA